CGGGGUGCAGCAGGCGCGAAAACUUUGCAAUACACGAAAGUGUGACAGGGCUAUCCCGAGUGCCAUCCGCUGAGGAAGGCUUUUACCCAGUCUAGAACGCUGGGGGAAUAAGGAGAGGGCAAGUCUGGUGUCAGCCGCCGCGGUAAUACCAGCUCUCCGAGUGGUGUGGAUGUUUAUUGGGCCUAAAGCAUCCGUAGCUGGCUAAGUUAGUCCCUUGUUAAAUCCACCGAAUUAAUCGUUGGAUUGCGGGGGAUACUGCUUGGCUAGGGGACGAGAGAGGCAGACGGUAUUUCCGGGGUAGGGGUGAAAUCCUAUAAUCCCGGGAAGACCACCAGUGGCGAAGGCUGUCUGCUAGAACGCGCCCGACGGUGAGGGAUGAAAGCUGGGGGAGCGAACCGGAUUAGAUACCCGGGUAGUCCCAGCUGUAAACGAUGCAGGCUAGGUGUUUGGACGGCCACGUGCCGUUCUAGUGCCGCAGGGAAGCUGUUAAGCCUGCCGCCUGGGGAGUACGAUCGCAAGAUUGAAACUUAAAGGAAUUGGCGGGGGAGCAC
rnacentral:rRNA from 1 species